AUUGAACGCUGGCGGCAGGCCUAACACAUGCAAGUCGAGCGGAUGAAGGGAGCUUGCUCCUGGAUUCAGCGGCGGACGGGUGAGUAAUGCCUAGGAAUCUGCCUGGUAGUGGGGGAUAACGUCCGGAAACGGGCGCUAAUACCGCAUACGUCCUGAGGGAGAAAGUGGGGGAUCUUCGGACCUCACGCUAUCAGAUGAGCCUAGGUCGGAUUAGCUAGUUGGUGGGGUAAAGGCCUACCAAGGCGACGAUCCGUAACUGGUCUGAGAGGAUGAUCAGGCACACUGGAACUGAGACACGGUCCAGACUCCUACGGGAGGGAGCAGUGGGGAAUAUUGGACAAUGGGCGAAAGCCUGAUCCAGCCAUGCCGCGUGUGUGAAGAAGGUCUUCGGAUUGUAAAGCACUUUAAGUUGGGAGGAAGGGCAGUAAGUUAAUACGUUGCUGUUUUGACGUUACCAACAGAAUAAGCACCGGCUAACUUCGUG
rnacentral:rRNA from 1 species